AUUUUCAUCAAUUACAGUUGAUACAAAUAAAACAUUGGAGAAAACCUGUGACUUCAACACCAAGUGGCUAAACGGUCUUCUCAUUGGAUCUGGGGUCUUGAAUGCAUUUCUGAUUGGACUGCUGUCAGUGCUGUGGAAGACAGCGACUCUCCAGAAGACUCAUGACUCUCAUCGAACCUCUGAACCACCUGGUGGAACAUGUGGACUGGAGUAUGAAGUGAUACAGCUACCACCCCCAAAACGACCCAGGCCUGACCACAUCACUUCCAUUACAUAUUCUGAAGUGUGGAUUCUAAAUCCUGAAUAACAAUUUCUUAAAAAGGUCCCACAUCUGUAUGUCCUCACUUUGAAUUUAUGGGCAAUUACGAAAAUACAUAUGAUUUUUUAAAAUAAUGUGUAUUAGAAUAUGAAAAUAUAUCUUUUGUGGGGAAAGUGAGAAAGAUGUUUGUGUGUUUCUGUUAAAGCCCACCUAGAGAAUGUUUGGUUAGCUGACAUACAUUCAUAUCCUGUUUGAAAAAAAGUGUUGUAUUAUACCUUUCUGGUUUGAAGUUACCUUCGACCACAGCUGAAAGUACUAUUACUUGCUUAUUGCUAAUAGUUCCUUUAGUUGUGGUCAAAGCUAGGUAGAAGCUAAAUAGAAAUGUUAAAUAUAUUUUGUUAUUUAAAGGUAAAACUACUGUAUGGUUUGGAAUGUCAGGA